UUUCCGUAGGUGAACCUGCGGAAGGAUCAUUAGUGAGCUCCCGCACUGUCUUAUAACUAUCCCACACCUCGUUGAACCGACCUCUUCUGUUUUAUUUUGCAACCAUGCUUUAGUUAACGUCAUGUAUGUUAACAAAACAAAACUUUCAACAACGGAUCUCUAGUCUCUCGCGUCUAUAAAGAACACAUCAUAACAGAAUAAAAAACGUCUGAACUCCAGUCACCCAUAAUCAACAACGAUGCCGACUGGUACUUGAAACGUCUAAACACAAGACAAAAA
rnacentral:misc_RNA from 1 species